UGCCAGCCGCCGCGGUAAUACGAAGGUCCCGAGCGUUGUUCGGAUUUACUGGGCGUAAAGAGUACGUAGGCGGUAAAGUAAGUCAGAUGUGAAAGCCCAAGGCUCAACCUUGGAACUGCAUCCGAUACUGCUUUACUAGAGUAAUGGAGGGGUAUCUGGAAUUCACGGUGUAGCAGUGAAAUGCGUAGAUAUCGUGAGGAACACUAGUGGCGAAGGCGAGAUACUGGACAUUUACUGACGCUGAGGUACGAAGGCCAGGGUAGCGAAAAGGAUUAGAUA
rnacentral:rRNA from 1 species